CCAGCCCCUGAUUUUAGAAAAACCAGAUAGCUUAUUUGCUCUCUCUCCCCUCCCCUUUCUCUUCUCCUGUUAGGGUUUGGACCCUAGCUCUGCGUCGCCGUCGUAUCACCGUGGGUGGUGAUCGGAGCCGCACGAAGAAAGGGUUUUUUUUACCCUGGUUUUGAAACGCCCGAAGGCCAUGUCUUCUUGACCUGAAAACACGAAAGAAGAGACCCCCCUUUUUCCUCGCGAAAGUCGAUUUUAACGACGGAGUAGGACUCCGAUGUCGCGGCUCCGAGGUUCGGGUUAUAGACGGAGUCAACGACGAGGCAGGUGGCCCUUUUGGUGCUAGCGAGCCAGGGGAGCCGACCCUCGAGCGGAGUGCACGCUGAGGGUGCACAUGGAGGGGGCUAAGGAGACCUAGGUGCGGUGCCUAGGGUUUUUUCUUUUCCCUUGCUGUUUAAUUUUGUGGGCUAGGGUAAUUUUGGGCCACUAGGUCUAAUUGGUUUUGUUAUAUCGGGCCCGGGCAAAUUUGGGCCCGUACAGCAUUAUCGUAGCAUCUAUUGCUAGCAACCCCAAAUGUAUAGAGUAAGCUAAAACAAAAAUAUUGUCCACAAAGGGCUAGGGUUUGUAAAGAAAUCGAGAAAAUCGAAAAUCAUUUUGAAUGGUAAUGUUUGGUUCAAUUUUUUAAA